rnacentral:rRNA from 1 species
CGCAAGGUUGAAACUCAAAGGAAUUGACGGGGGCCCGCACAAGCGGUGGAGCAUGUGGUUUAAUUCGAUGAUACGCGGGGAACCUUACCUGGGCUUAAAUGCAUAAUGACCGUCUCGGAAACGAGACUUUCUUCGGACAGAAUGCAAGGUGCUGCAUGGUUGUCGUCAGCUCGUGCUGUGAGGUGUCGGGUUAAGUCCCAUAACGAGCGCAACCCCUAUUCUUAGUUGCCAGCGGAUAAUGCCGGGGACUCUAAGGAAACUGCCCGCGCAAGCGGAGAGGAAGGUGGGGAUGACGUCAAAUCAUCACGGCCCUUACGUCCAGGGCUACACACGUGCUACAAUGGUCAGUACAAAGGGCAGCUACCUGGUGACAGGAUGCUAAUCUCGAAAACUGAUCUCAGUUCGGAUCGAAGUCUGCAACUCGACUUCGUGAAGUUGGAAUCGCUAGUAAUCGCGCAUCAGCCAUGGCGCGGUGAAUACGUUCCCGGGCCUUGUACACACCGCCCGUCAAGCCAUGGAAGCUGGGGGUACCUAAAGUCAGUAACCGCAAG